UAGCAAUAUCAGGUUGGGCCAGUGGCGAACGGGUGCGUAACACGUGAGUCAUCUGCCUGAAAGUGGGGGAUAGCUCGCCGAAAGGCGAAUUAAUACCGCAUGUGCCCCGAAGCAAUUCGGGGUAAAGCCGGGGCAACCUGGCGCUUUUAGAUGAGCUCGCGGCCUAUCAGCUUGUUGGUAAGGUAACGGCUUACCAAGGCUUCGACGGGUAGCUGGUCUGAGAGGACGACCAGCCACACUGGAACUGAGACACGGUCCAGACACCUACGGGUGGCAGCAGUCGAGAAUUUUUCUCAAUGGGGGAAACCCUGAAGGAGCGACGCCGCGUGGAGGAUGAAGGCUUUCGGGUUGUAAACUCCUGUCAUUUGGGAACAAUGCCUUACGUUAACUGCGUGGAGGUUUGAUAGUACCAGAAGAGGAAGAGACGGCUAACUCUGUGCCAGCAGCCGCGGUAAUACAGAGGUCUCAAGCGUUGUUCGGAUUCAUUGGGCGUAAAGGGCGCGUAGGCUGCGGGGCAAGUCGGGUGUGAAAUCUCAGAGCUCAACUCUGAAACUGCACUCGAUACUGCUUUGCUUGAGGACUGGAGAGGAGAUUGGAAUUCACGGUGUAGCA
rnacentral:rRNA from 1 species